rnacentral:sRNA from 1 species
GCCAGGUGUAGUGGUGUACACCUGUAGUCGCAGCUAUUUAGGAGGCUGAGGUAAGAGGAUCACUUUGAGUCCAGAGUUUGAGACAAACCUGGGCAACAUAGCAAGAUCUAUCUCAU